UGUAAGGUCACCGGCCGCCACAUCUCCCACUACUUGCCAGCCGGUCACGCAUGUCAGCGUUCUCGUCACUGAGGCCACAUUUGAUGGCCAAAAAUUCCUUCACCCAAAAUGCCAUAGCAUCCACUCUCCGUCGCCACCGUCUCUUCCUGCUCCGAUCAACCGAGUCAUCAGCGUCUUGCCCUUCUCCUUCAUUAUCUUUCUCAUCACAGAGCAGCUGGCGGGGAGAUCAUAUUUCUGUGCAGGGAUCAAAUACCAAGCUGCUGCAUGCCGUGGAGAUGUUAUUCAUUACUCGUGGGUCUUAGAUUGUUGCUCACAGAAACGCUUGUUACAAGGUACCUGUUGUUUCUUUUAGACUGCUCAAAAGAGAAGUUGUGAGCCGAGGUUGACACACUGGGUGACUCGUACUUUUUGGAUCUUGAUGUUAAGAGAUUGAUGCAUGUUCUAAUUAGAAGGUUGUUGACCAUGAGACCAAAAUGGAAAGGAAAAGGUUCGGCACAACUUGCCCUUGCUGAUCCCAUGUCCAAAAUUGUUUCAACGUUGCAAAGCUGCUUGACAGAAUCCAAAAGCUGUGCAUCACUGAGCAAUGAAGUUGUUCUUUGUGAAGCCGAACCAGAACAGGCAGAACUGCUGAACCGGGCUUGCUUUGGCUGUCCAGUGGCAACAGUUAAAAGGCAGGCAGUGGUUUCAGUUGGGACUAGAAGAGGCUUUCUAUAUGAGUAAUGCACUCAAUUGUCUUACAGUUGUCGGAAAAGACGGAAGUCCUAAAGAUCCUCAAAAUCUUGGAAAAUGUAUGAAAGAUAGGCAGAGCAUGUUUCUAAUGAUGUAUGAAAAUGUUACAGUUUGUACUGCAUUUUCAUGUCUGUUUAUUUUGAAAUUUGCUGACAUAUCUAGAAAAGAAGGUUCUUUCAGUGUCUUGGCAUCACUGUUAUGAAAAUUUUGUGAUUUUAGGUUAAAUAAAACGCAA